rnacentral:misc_RNA from 1 species
GGGCAGGGAAUGAAACCUGAUCUUCAGAGUGAUAUAAGCAUGUUUAAUCCUGCAGCUCACUCGAUGCCUAUCAAGCAAGCUGUUAGCAUGAAUAAUGAUGUUUUUUACGGUGACAAAAAGCCCAUAGGAGCUCUUGUACAAUCUAGGAAUGAUGUUCCUGCCUCGUUUGGAGGCAUUAUUGACCCAAUGACUACAGGUGCAUUUUC